CUGGGAUAAGCCCGGGAAACUGGGUCUAAUACCGGAUAUCACUUCCUUACCGCAUGGGGGGUGGUGGAAAGGUCUUUUCGGUCGGGGAUGGACUCGCGGCCUAUCAGCUUGUUGGUGGGGUAAUGGCUCACCAAGGCGACGACGGGUAGCCGGCCUGAGAGGGUGACCGGCCACACUGGAGCUGAGACACGGCCCAGACUCCUACGGGUGGCAGCAGUGGGGAAUAUUGCACAAUGGGCGCAAGUAUGCUGCAGCGACGCCGCUGCAGGGAUGACGGCUUCGGGGUGGUAAACCUCUUUCAGUAGGGAAGAAGCGAAAGUGACGGUACCUGCAGAAGAAGCGGCGGCUAACUACGUGCCAGCAGCCGCGGUAAUACGUAGGGCGCAAGCGUUAUCCGUAGUCGUUCUGCGUGAGUCGCUCGUACGCAGUGUGUAGCGUGUGCCGUGAAAGUCCGGGGCUCAACCCCGGAUCUGCGGUGGGUACGGGCAGACUUGAGUGCAGUAGGGGAGACUGGAAUUCCUGGUGUAGCGGUGAAAUGCGCAGAUAUCAGGAGGAACACCGAUGGCGAAGGCAGGUCUCUGGGCUGUAACUGACGCUGAGGAGCGAAAGCAUGGGGAGCGAACAGGAUUAGAUACCCUGCAUCUCCAUGCCGUAAACGUUGGGCACUAGAUGUGGGGGACAUUCCACGUUUUCCGCGUCGUAGCUAACGCAUUAAGUGCCCCGCCUGGGGAGUACGGCCGCAAGGCUAAAACUCAAAGGAAUUGACGGGGGCCCGCACAAGCGGCGGAGCAUGCGGAUUAAUUCGAUGCAACGCGAAGAACCUUACCAAGGCUUGACAUGGGCCGGACCGGGCUGGAAACAGUCCUUCCUUUGGGGCCGGUUCACAGGUGGUGCAUGGUUGUCGUCAGCUCGUGUUGUGAAAUGU
rnacentral:rRNA from 1 species